GUUGCCCUUUUUUCCUCUUCAUCUCCCCACUUCCUGAUUCAAAGACUAUCGCCUGGCAACCGUAGUUCGCCGCCUCCUCCCAUGUCAUUCCCCUCCCGAGUACCGACCUGGACGGUGGCAGCCGAAAUCGAGGGGCCUUGGGCAGCGAUGGCCCGGACCUGAGGGCAGCGGCAACAAAAAUUGAAGUCCUGGCUCGACAGCAGCCCGGACGUAGGCGGUGGACGCAACCAAAAUCAAGGGCAGCAGACCUAAUCGGGCCCAGGAAUAUCCCUAGGACGAUGAGAUCUUUGGCAUCGGGGCGGAUAAUGUCGCCGACGCCCUCGACCUCGAAGUCUCCACCACCUCCCUUGAGUCCCUUCGAGACGCCACCUCGCCUGACGAAGACACCACGAAGAGUUUGAAGGGGAAGAGCCGAAGAGGAGGAUGAUCGCUCGAGGAGAGGAAGCUGCCGAGCGGGCUGCAGUGAUACCUUGAUCCAGGUGACAGUAUGGCUCAGUUGCCAUUCAUAGAUUUCGUGGAUCCAGGGUGGCACGGUGCACAUCAACACUUUUCGACGAGCCAGCAGUGAGGAGUACAAGAGGGCCGUCAGGUGUUGCACGCUGGACAAGGAUAUGGAGAAUUUCUGGCGUGACAACCUGACAGAGAUUGGGCAGAGAGGCCUCAACAUGAGCGGAGGCAAAAAGUAGAUGAUUCAGCUUGCAACAACUGUCUACAUAGACGCAAAUAUCUAUUGUAUACCGUUGUACCCCUUUUCAGUGCCAGGAUCCUUCUCAUUCUCAAUUCAACGGUUGUAGCUUAAUUAUGCAAUGAUCAUUUCAUGGAUGUGACAGUAACUUUGUUUCUGAAGGACUGCGUUAUCGCGUCCCUUGAGGACAAGACAGUCAUUUUUGUUACACAUUAAGUUGAAUUUUUGUCCAAGGUUGACCGGAUUUUGAUCUUGGAGAAGAGGGCGAUAAUUCAGGAGGCAACUUAUGAGGAUCUUCUGCAAUUUUGAUGGCACUUGCAUUUUGAACUGUAACAAGUAAAAGGCGUAGAGGCAUUCGUGUGACCAGUCUCCAAGAACAGUUUUGAAUUGGAUGCUCGUCAGAUUACCUAGUGUUUUGCCUCAUUUCUCUGCGAUCAUCACCUGGUUCAUCUGUCAGUUGGAAGGGGACAAAAUAAAGGAGUAGAGUCAUUCGUUUGAUUAAUCUGCAACAACAGUUAUGAAUUGGAUGCUCGUCAGAUUACCCAGAUUUGGAUAUAACUCUUGGUUACUUAGAACUGGAUUUUAUUUGAUACUUCUUGUUAUACCAUGCACUUAAACACCGGCUUAUGUGCAAUGUAUUGCCAGAUGAGAUUUAAUUAUUAUAAGCUUCUGGCUCCCAGUAGCUCCUCGGACUAAGUAUGUGAAUUUAGUUUGCCUUGCCCUCAGACCAAGUAAAUUGAAGUUUAAUUAACACAAACUUUUAUCGGUACACGUUGAACACCAACCAGGCUACAGUUCCUUUGGCCUAUUCAUGCCCGGCUCUCUCUUUUGUUUAUCAUGUUGUAUUAACUAUUGAACUGAAUAAGUCCAUGAUCCAUGUGUCAUGGAUUUCAGAAUUUAAUUUUUGAUGUGGUGUGUUUAUGGUCUCAAUAUGAUAUAAAUGUCAUUUAUUUUCUACUUUUUUCACUCAAAAUACUAUUUUUUGAAGAGUAUUCAGGUGGGGUUCCUAUUUCUACUAUUGUGCCUCUGGCUGUUGUUGCACUUCCACUGCCUGCAUAACCAGUCAAGUCGGAUUCCCCAUCAGUGAAACCGCACUUCAUGCUUCGAUGAUGACCGAGUUCAUGGUGGAAUUCAUGUGCGCAACUGGAGUGUGCUAGCUGCAUGCGCUGCUACUAUCUAUGCUGGAGAAGAAAAGACAACGCUGGAACAGUUAACCGCUGCAGGCGAGUCCAUCCGAGGAGAAUGAGCAAUCGACAUUGUGACCAUGCACGCUGGACAAGAUAGAGUGGCACUUUCCAGUGUUUGUGUCAAAAUGACAGAUGGGCAUCCAUCUCUUGUAAUCUCGGUACUGAACGUGUAUCUCGAAUCAUGGAAGUGUACGUCUAUAUGUUUCAGGUAUUUAGCAUCACGACCGACAAAUAUUAAUGUUUAGUACCUGAUAGAAAUCAGCAUAAAAUACAUGCUAUGGUUAACUCAUGAAGAGAAAAAGGUCUAUUCUCUGAAAUAAAAUUU